GGCAGAACCACUUGUUACAACCACAGUCUGCUGAUGAACUUGAGACUCAGCGACGUUAGUGGUCUGUCCAAGGUUAACCAGUAGCAGAACCAAGAUUCAAGGUCACCUGCCUCCCAAGGCCAAGACUCUGUACUUCCCCAUGGCCCCUCCCAUUUAUGAAAGCAUGAACUGCAUUGAGCUGUAUCGUCAUUGUCACUGCCACCAGCACCGUGACCAUCACACUGGCUUUCAGUAUCCGUAAAUGUUUG
rnacentral:lncRNA from 1 species